CAGUCGCCACGGGAACACGAAGGGUGCAAGCGUUAAUCGGAAUUACUGGGCGUAAAGCGUGCGUAGGCGGUGAGUUAAGUCUGCUGUGAAAUCCCCGGGCUCAACCUGGGAAUGGCAUUGGAUACUGGCUCGCUAGAGUGUGUCAGAGGAUGGUGGAAUUCCCGGUGUAGCGGUGAAAUGCGUAGAGAUCGGGAGGAACAUCAGUGGCGAAGGCGGCCAUCUGGGACAACACUGACGCUGAGGCACGAAAGCGUGGGGAGCAAACAGGAUUAGAUACCCCAGUAGUCCCUGUCUCUUAUAC
rnacentral:rRNA from 1 species